CAGCAGCCACGGGAAUACGGAGGGUGCGAGCGUUAAUCGGAAUUACUGGGCGUAAAGCGUGCGCAGGCGGUUGUGUAAGACAGUUGUGAAAUCCCCGGGCUCAACCUGGGAACUGCAUCUGUGACUGCAUAGCUAGAGUACGGUAGAGGGGGAUGGAAUUCCGCGUGUAGCAGUGAAAUGCGUAGAUAUGCGGAGGAGCACCGAUGGCGAAGGCAAUCCCCUGGACCUGUACUGACGCUCAUGCACGAAAGCGUGGGGAGCAAACAGGAUUAGAUACCCCAGUAGUCCCUGUCUCUUAUAC
rnacentral:rRNA from 1 species